rnacentral:rRNA from 1 species
GAUGAACGCUGGCGGCGUGCCUAAUACAUGCAAGUCGAACGGGUGUAGCAAUACACUAGUGGCGAACGGGUGAGUAACACGUUGGUGACCUGCCCUAAAGAGGGGAAUACCACUUCGAAAGGGGUGACAAAACCGCAUAAGCUAGUGCUAGUUAGAGAGGCAUUAGUAAAAGAGCAAUCUACUUUAGGAGGGGCCUGCGGCCCAUCAGCUAGUUGGUGAGGUAAAAGCCCACCAAGGCGAAGACGGGUAGGGGACCUGAGAGGGUGAUCCCCCACAAUGGAACUGAAACACGGUCCAUACACCUGCGGGUGGCAGCAGUAGGGAAUAUUGCUUAAUGGGCGAAAGCCUGAAGCAGCAACGCCGCGUGAACGAAGAAGGCCUUCGGGUCGUAAAGUUCUUUACGUGGGAGUGAGGAAGGACAGUACCACGAGAAUAAGUCUCGGCUAACUAACGUG